rnacentral:tRNA from 1 species
GCCUGGCUGGCUCAGUUGGUAGAGUGUGUGACUCUUAAUCUCAGGGUUGUGAGCUCGAGCCCCACAUUGGGUG